UACGGAGGGGGCUAGCGUUGUUCGGAAUCACUGGGCUUAAAGCGUGUGUAGGCGGGUCGUUAAGUGCCUUGUGAAAUCCCAUGGCUCAACCAUGGAACUGCUGGGCAUACUGGCGAUCUUGUGCAACCUAGGGGCGAGCGGAACAGAUGGUGGAGCGGUGAAAUGCGUAGAUAUCAUCUGGAACGCCAAUGGUGAAAACAGCUCGCUGGGGGUUUGCAGACGCUGAGACACGAAAGCCAGGGGAGCGAACGGG
rnacentral:rRNA from 1 species